ACCAAUCAACACUCGCUGAUAUGUCUAUCCACAAAAUGAAGUAAUGAACACUUACGUACUAUUAAAAUGGUGUCUCCACUCUCCAAUUCAAUAAACAUCUCAUUCUCACUUCCUUUUGUUUCUCUGAGUUCUUGUUUAGAAGAAGCAAUGGCCACUUCAGCAAUCCAGCACUCUUCUUUCGCCGGCCAGACGGCUCUUAAGCCAUCCAACGAUCUCCUUCGCAAGGUCGGAGCCUCCAACGGUGGUGGCCGCAUCGUCAUGCGCCGUACCGUCAAGUCUACUCCUCAAAGCAUCUGGUUCCAUCUCUAACCUCUCUCUCUCUUUCAGUUUGGUCUGGAUCAGAUUAGAUUGGUUUAUCCGGACUAAACGACCACAUCAGUUUAUGUUUCCUCAGUUAAUCACCAAACCAUUUAAUUUAGUAUCUAACAAAAAUAAACUUUGUGACAGGUACGGACCAGACCGUCCCAAAUACCUAGGACCAUUCUCGGAAAACACACCAUCAUACCUAACCGGAGAAUACCCUGGAGACUACGGCUGGGACACCGCCGGUCUCUCAGCCGAUCCUGAAACAUUCGCAAAGAACCGUGAGCUCGAAGUUAUCCACAGUAGAUGGGCAAUGUUGGGAGCAUUAGGCUGCACCUUCCCUGAGAUCCUCUCCAAAAACGGAGUCAAAUUCGGUGAAGCCGUGUGGUUCAGGGCAGGAUCUCAGAUCUUCUCGGAAGGAGGGCUUGACUACCUUGGAAACCCUAACUUGAUCCACGCGCAAAGCAUAUUAGCUAUAUGGGCAUGUCAAGUUGUUUUAAUGGGAUUCAUCGAAGGUUACAGAAUCGGAGGUGGUCCUCUUGGUGAAGGUCUUGACCCACUUUACCCCGGUGGUGCUUUUGACCCUUUGAACUUAGCAGAGGAUCCAGAAGCAUUCUCGGAAUUGAAGGUAAAGGAGCUCAAGAACGGUCGUCUUGCAAUGUUCUCAAUGUUUGGAUUCUUCGUUCAAGCCAUUGUUACUGGUAAAGGUCCGAUCGAGAACUUGUUCGACCAUAUCGCAGACCCUGUGGCUAACAAUGCUUGGGCUUUCGCCACCAACUUCGUCCCCGGAAAAUAAAAAGUUUGACUCGGAUAAUUUAUGUAAAUUAUAUCUUUUAAGAAUCUCAUUAGUUGAUAUGUUGGUUCUAUAUUCUAUCUACCGGUCACAAAUUCUCGUUAGCUUGCAACUUAGCACAAACACACACAAAAAUACGUUUAAAAGACUAAAAGUUUUGAUUCAAAAAAAAAAGAAGACUAAAAGUCUAAAACAAUAUAUAUGGACGCAUUAGAUACUAAUACGAAUUAUUAUCAUGGAUACGAUUGGAUUGGUUUAAUUGUGCUUAAUUACGUUCGCAUACCUUCGGUUUCUUCCUAGCUAGUUAUAAAGAAAAGAGAGGAAUACUUUUGAGGCUAUUUCUACAAAGUGAAUCAGCUGUGAGAAGGUGAGAUUCGAAUAUUUAAAAAAAUUUAAAAAUAAUGGAAAUUAAAUAUAGAAUUUAUAAGUAGUUUUAUAGAAUUUUUAGACUAGCCCUAUGGUAAUACUAUAUACGUUUAAUGAUAGUUUAAAAUAAAUCUAACACAUACACAUACUCAAAAUGUGGACCUUUAUGCACAUACCAACCCUUGAAAUUAAAUAAACAUUGGUUCAUCACCAAGCAAAGGGAAUAGAAGGAGCUCUGACACUAUAUAGAAUGUGGUGAAUGAUUCUCUUUUUACAAUAUAUAUAUAUAUAUAGUGGUUACAAGAGAACACUUAUGUCUUAAUUAAUUACAGUUGAAUUCUGUAUUUAGAUAUGUUUUACAGAGAGUUCUUCGGUGCACCAUGCAUGCCAAUUCUAUGUUAGCCAUGUUUCUACCGCCGAUCAGAAUUGCUGCAAAAGCCUUUACCUAAUUUUAACACUAUUAGAUAUCCCACAUCGAUGAUGGGAUAUAUUCUUAGAUAAUAUAUAUACGAUGUGACAAUCUUUUUCCUUUGAGUUAGCUUAAAGGAGAAGUAUUAGAUAUCCCACAUCGAUAAUGGGAUAGAUUCUUGGAUAAUAAAUAUGUGAUGUGAUAAUCCCUCUUCUUUAAGUAAACUUUUGGGAUUUUAGUUAUGCCACAUUACUAAUAUGGUAUCAUAGCCCAACAAGCAAAUUCCCACAAAAAUGGUUUUUCCAUCUGUGUGGUCCCAUAUAAGUGGCAUGUCUUGUUGUAUUUCGAGAUGUUGGGUUUGUACAGUUUCUGUGUUGGACCGUUUAAACCCAAAUCUCGAGAGGGGCUAUUAGAUAUCUCUUAUCGAUGAUGGAAUAGAUUCUUGGGUAAUAUAUAUGUGAUGUGACAAUCAUUCUCCUUUGAGUUAGCUUUUGGAAUUAGUUAAGGUACAUUACUAAUAAACACCGGUCUUGGUUUAGUCUUUUCUUUGCAAGAUUUUGGAGUCACCAAUCAUGUAUACUUUGAAUUUUGAGAAUAUUUGUUAUGGGGGGGGAGGGGGGGUUGGUGUUACCCAUAUAUGAUUAUAUGUGUACUUUAAAUAUUAUCGAAUUUUUAUAUUGUAGUUACUAGUUAAUGUCGAGAUGGGCUAUAUUGGUUAAUAUUUACGUAAAAAAAACAAAAAAAUGAAAGUUAAUAUCAAGCAUUUAUAUAUGUUAUUUCUUUUUACUACAAAUUAAAUAGGCCUAUAUAUGUUUAUGAUAUCUACUUACUUAAAAAGCUAUUUAAGAAACUAAUUAAGGGUUAUGCAUUCUUAAAUUGGAGUUGAUUGGAUUUUAAAACUACAAAUUAAUCUUUGUUUUGGAGAAUAUAUGUAAGUGUAACUGUUGUUAUCACCGCAAUCGCAAGCAUAGCCAAUAGGGCAUGACCAAUAUGCAAGAUAGCAUGAGAACACUAUCCUCUUUGGGUUUUUCAUAUAUUUCGUUCACCCCACAAGAUCUUCCCUUGCCACAUGGCUACAACCAUAACCUCUACAUAUCUCCUGCACGUAAAAUUGAGUUUGUGGAAAAUCUAAAACCAACCAAUCAAAACUCGCUGACAUGUCUAUUUGCUAAUCUUCCCACAAAAAUGAACACUCUAUUUAUAAAAAACGAAGUCCCCAAUUCACAAACAUAACACCAACAACAUUAUCAUCUCACUUAUUACUACUUCUUUUGCUUUAGUGUUCUUGUUUAGAAGAAGCAAUGGCCACUUCAGCAAUCCAACACUCUUCUUUCGCUGGCCAAACGACUCUAAAGCCAUCCAACGAUCUCCUCCGCAAAGUUGGAGCUUCCAACGGUGGUGCUCGCAUUGUCAUGCGUCGUACCGUCAAGUCUACACCUCAGAGCAUCUGGUUUCAACCCUAAUCUUUGUUUCUUUUUGAGAUUUUUGGUUUUAACAGAAUAGUAAACAUUGAAAACUGAAUCUAGUAAAGAUUAAUAAUGGUUUUAGUUCAAGAUUCGUAUUUUCAUUAAACGGAAACAAUAAACUUUCGUUGAGUUAUGUCUACUCUUUCUUAAAUUUGGUUAUGUUUUUCGAUUGGUACGUUCAGUUUGGCUUUAUGGAUUAGAUUACAUUGGUUUUAAUCCGACUAAACGACUCAUAAAUUUUUCUUUCUUCAUUUUUGGUAUAGCUAAUCCACCGAAACAACUAUCUAACAACAAAAACUUUGUGACAGGUAUGGACCAGACCGUCCCAAAUACCUAGGACCAUUCUCGGAAAACACACCAUCAUACCUAACCGGAGAAUACCCUGGAGACUACGGCUGGGACACCGCCGGUCUCUCAGCCGAUCCUGAAACAUUCGCCAAGAACCGUGAGCUCGAAGUUAUCCACAGU
rnacentral:lncRNA from 1 species